ensembl:lncRNA
GCAUGCGCGCUCUCCGCGUCGCCCCGCGGGAGUCGUAGUCUUCCGGGCCUUGCCCACCAGGCAGAGGGCGACGGGGCCGGACUACGACUCCCAGGGUGCACCGCGUGGGCGAGCCCCGAACUCGAGGACGGGGCGAGAGCGAGCGGCGCUGGCCCGCCCGGACGAGGGCUGUCAAUGGAGGAGCAGAGCAGGAGGAGCCGAGGACGAACAUGGCUGCGGCUGCUGCUGCUGCGGCUGCACCUGGGGCCUGCUCGGCUGCAGGGGGGAGGGGAGAGGGGGGAGGGGAACACGGCCUGCGCCCCGGCUCCCGAACACAAAGAGCGGACCCCCGCUGCUGCCCCGCCGCGGGGGGCCGGCCACAAAGAAGUUUAAAAGAGAAAGGGAGAGCGAUUUCUGCUCUGGGGCGGCCCCGGGCAGCAUUCAGACAGAGGGACAGGACCCAACUCCCUCCUCCCAAAGGGCUUCUGCCCGGAGAAGCCUAUGUGUGCUCUCACAUCCAGCGGGGUUCCUGGGCCCGAGAGCUUUCAACCACGAAACCUCCGUUUUCCAAUCUGUGAAAUGGGCGAAAUGAUGCCUCCCUUCCACAUAGGCGGACCGUGCAGACUCCGGAGGGAAUCCUCGGAGAAAAUGCUGGAAUGGAUCAUUAAAGAGAUGGUUGAUGAACAUUUCAAAAUGGAAUCCACAGUCAUAAAGAGCUCGAAUCUGGCUCUCCACUAAGCCCUCCCAGCCUUUCCGCUGAAUGCCUCAUCUCCUACUUUACUCUUCGAUCCCGAGAUCUCCCUCCGCUAGGAAGAGGUCCCAGAGCAGAGGGGGAAAGAGGGAGCUAAAGUGUUUAUAUAACAAUGCUUUUCACAGCUAAUUCUCGGCCUCUUUGGACACCUUGGGACAACACUCAAAGGUUUGCAGGGCUCCGCCCCCCAAAUACCCAAGCAGCUCACCCAGCCCGCAUUCCCCCUCGGCUAAUCCUUAAGCCCAUCCCUCCACCCCCCCCCCUCUUUCCCCCAAGCAGCUGGGCUCCCCGAAGAAAGACGAGAGCUCUCGCUGAUGUCACCCACCAUUCAUCUCCGCUCCCUCACUCCACAAACAUGGAGCGCCUUCCAAGGGCUCUUGGGGAAGGGAGCCGCAGAGAAAGGCCACCAGGCGACUCCCUCUGGCCCAGGCUUCUUUUUCUACUGGAGGCCUGGGGGGGAGAGGAGGAGAUGAGGACAUUGAAGCUCACACAAGUUACGUGACUUGUCCAAGGUCAUACAAGAGGGAGAAACUUGGAGUCAUCACAAGAACAUUUCAGUUUUCGGAAGUCAGUCCAGGCCACUCUUCUAUCCUCUUCGACUCCGGGGUAAAGUCACAGUCCCUGUUAGCAGUAUCUGUCUGAGACUGGAGAGAACAGAUAAACAGGAGAGAGAGAGAGACCUAAAAGCUGAUAGCACAAGCUUAUCAUUUACUUGUAUAUCACAGUCUGAACAAUGGGCUUGCUUCAUCCACUUUGUUUUUUCUGUUUGGAUAGUUAGGCCAUGCUCUUAGGAGUGAUCCUCUUUAGAAGAUUCUGAAAUGUUCUGGAGUUCCCACUUGGAAGACAGAUUGCAAGUCCCUGACCCUCCCCCAAUGUUACUUUUACUCUAAGCCACCUGGCCUAAGGAUUCAUGGCACAUAAGCCAUCUAAAAUCACUUCUGGGGGGCAGCUGGGUAGCUCAGUGGAUUUAGAGACAGGAGGCUCUAGGUUCAAAUCUGACCUCAGACACUUUCCAGCUAUGUGACCCUGGGCAAGUCAUUUAACCCCCAUUGCCUAGCCCUUACCGCUCUUCUGCCUUGGAACCAAUAUACAGUAUUGAUUCCAAGAUGGAAGGUGAGGGUUAAAAAGAAUAUUUUUUUUAUUAAAUCACUUCUGGGGGGCAGCUGGGUAGCUCAGCCAGGCCUGGAGAUGGGAGGUUCUGGAUUCAAAUCUAUCCUCUAAUAAGUCCUAGCUGUAUGACCCUGGGUAAAUCACUUGACCCCCAUUGCCACUCUUCUGCCUUGGAACCAAUACACAGUAUUGAUUCCAAGAUGGAAGGUGAGGGCUUAACAAAACAUUUUUUAAAUUAAAUCACUUUUGGAUCAUCUAGGAAAAUGCUGCAGCUGCCAGGUAAACUCAAUUAGAGCCCUCCCCAGGCACAAUUUUCUUCUUCCUUCUCUUUCCAUUGUAACCUUUGGAGGCUUCCUUUGUUGCAGUGCAGUAAAAGGUCUCAGAAUUUAGAAUAAAAAAAUAUUGGCUUUAGGAUUUGCUACUUAA